AGUGAACGCUGGCGGUAGGCCUAACACAUGCAAGUCGAACGGCAGCACAGUAAGCGCUUGCUCUUACGGGUGGCGAGUGGCGGACGGGUGAGGAAUACAUCGGAAUCUACUUUUUCGUGGGGGAUAACGUAGGGAAACUUACGCUAAUACCGCAUACGACCUACGGGUGAAAGCAGUGGAUCUUCGGACUUUGCGCGAUUGAAUGAGCCGAUGUCGGAUUAGCUAGUUGGCGGGGUAAAGGCCCACCAAGGCGACGAUCCGUAGCUGGUCUGAGAGGAUGAUCAGCCACACUGGAACUGAGACACGGUCCAGACUCCUACGGGAGGCAGCAGUGGGGAAUAUUGGACAAUGGGCGCAAGCCUGAUCCAGCCAUACCGCGUGGGUGAAGAAGGCCUUCGGGUUGUAAAGCCCUUUUGUUGGGAAAGAAAAGCAGCAGGUUAAUACCCCGCUGUUCUGACGGUACCCAAAGAAUAAGCACCGGCUAACUUCGUG
rnacentral:rRNA from 1 species